rnacentral:rRNA from 1 species
AGCAGCCGCCACGGGAAUACAGAGGGUGCGAGCGUUAAUCGGAUUUACUGGGCGUAAAGCGUGCGUAGGCGGCUAAUUGAGUCGGAUGUGAAAUCCCCGAGCUUAACUUGGGAAUUGCAUUCGAUACUGGUUAGCUAGAGUGUGGGAGAGGAUGGUAGAAUUCCAGGUGUAGCGGUGAAAUGCGUAGAGAUCUGGAGGAAUACCGAUGGCGAAGGCAGCCAUCUGGCCUAACACUGACGCUGAGGUACGAAAGCAUGGGGAGCAAACAGGAUUAGAUACCCGUGUAGUCCCUGUCUCUUAUAC